rnacentral:rRNA from 1 species
GACGAAGGGGGCUAGCGUUGUUCGGAAUUACUGGGCGUAAAGCGAGUGUAGGUGGUUGUCAUAGUCAGGUGUGAAAGCCUUGAGCUCAACUCAAGAAAUGCACUUGAUACUGGGCGACUAGAGGACCGGAGAGGAUAGUGGAAUUCCCAGUGUAGUGGUGAAAUACGUAGAGAUUGGGAAGAACACCAGUGGCGAAGGCGGCUAUCUGGACGGUUUCUGACACUAAGACUCGAAAGCGUGGGGAGCAAACAGGAUUAGAUACCCUGGUAGUCCACGCCGUAAACGAUGGGUGCUAGACGUUGGCGAGCUUGCUCGUCAGUGUCGCAGCUAACGCGUUAAGCACCCCGCCUGGGGAGUACGGCCGCAAGGUUGAA